rnacentral:rRNA from 1 species
UACGUAGGGUGCAAGCGUUGUCCGGAAUUAUUGGGCGUAAAGAGCUCGUAGGCGGUCUGUCGCGUCUGGUGUGAAAAUCCAGGGCUUAACCCUGGACCUGCAUCGGGUACGGGCAGACUAGAGUGCGGUAGGGGAGAUCGGAAUUCCUGGUGUAGCGGUGAAAUGCGCAGAGUAUCAGGAGGAACACCGGUGGCGAAGGCGGAUCUCUGGGCCGUAACUGACGCUGAGGAGCGAAAGCAUGGGGAGCGAACGG